UGAGUAACCUGCCCUUAACUCUGGGAUAAGCCUGGGAAACUGGGUCUAAUACCGGAUAGGAGCGCCUACCGCAUGGUGGGUGUUGGAAAGAUUUAUCGGUUUUGGAUGGACUCGCGGCCUAUCAGCUUGUUGGUGAGGUAAUGGCUCACCAAGGCGACGACGGGUAGCCGGCCUGAGAGGGUGACCGGCCACACUGGGACUGAGACACGGCCCAGACUCCUACGGGAGGCAGCAGUGGGGAAUAUUGCACAAUGGGCGCAAGCCUGAUGCAGCGACGCCGCGUGAGGGAUGACGGCCUUCGGGUUGUAAACCUCUUUCAGUAGGGAAGAAGCGAAAGUGACGGUACCUGCAGAAGAAGCACCGGCUAACUACGUGCCAGCAGCCGCGGUAAUACGUAGGGUGCGAGCGUUAUCCGGAAUUAUUGGGCGUAAAGAGCUCGUAGGCGGUUUGUCGCGUCUGUCGUGAAAGUCCGGGGCUUAACCCCGGAUCUGCGGUGGGUACGGGCAGACUAGAGUGCAGUAGGGGAGACUGGAAUUCCUGGUGUAGCGGUGGAAUGCGCAGAUAUCAGGAGGAACACCGAUGGCGAAGGCAGGUCUCUGGGCUGUAACUGACGCUGAGGAGCGAAAGCAUGGGGAGCGAACAGGAUUAGAUACCCUGGUAGUCCAUGCCGUAAACGUUGGGCACUAGGUGUGGGGACCAUUCCACGGUUUCCGCGCCGCAGCUAACGCAUUAAGUGCCCCGCCUGGGGAGUACGGCCGCAAGGCUAAAACUCAAAGGAAUUGACGGGGGCCCGCACAAGCGGCGGAGCAUGCGGAUUAAUUCGAUGCAACGCGAAGAACCUUACCAAGGCUUGACAUGUUCUCGAUCGCCGUAGAGAUACGGUUUCCCCUUUGGGGCGGGUUCACAGGUGGUGCAUGGUUGUCGUCAGCUCGUGUCGUGAGAUGUUGGGUUAAGUCCCGCAACGAGCGCAACCCUCGUUCCAUGUUGCCAGCACGUAAUGGUGGGGACUCAUGGGAGACUGCCGGGGUCAACUCGGAGGAAGGUGAGGACGACGUCAAAUCAUCAUGCCCCUUAUGUCUUGGGCUUCACGCAUGCUACAAUGGCCGGUACAAUGGGUUGCGAUACUGUGAGGUGGAGCUAAUCCCAAAAAGCCGGUCUCAGUUCGGAUUGGGGUCUGCAACUCGACCCCAUGAAGUCGGAGUCGCUAGUAAUCGCAGAUCAGCAACGCUGCGGUGAAUACGUUCCCGGGCCUUGUACACACCGCCCGUCAAGUCA
rnacentral:rRNA from 2 species